UACGUAGGGGGCAAGCGUUGUCCGGAAUUAUUGGGCGUAAAGAGCUCGUAGGCGGCCUGUUGCGUCCGCUGUGAAAUCCCGGGGCUCAACCCCGGGCCUGCAGUGGAUACGGGCUGGCUAGAGGCAGGCAGGGGAGAACGGAAUUCCUGGUGUAGCGGUGAAAUGCGCAGAUAUCAGGAGGAACACCGGUGGCGAAGGCGGUUCUCUGGGCCUGUACUGACGCUGGAGGAGCGAAAGCGUGGGGAGCAAACAGG
rnacentral:rRNA from 1 species